rnacentral:lncRNA from 1 species
AGGGCUGCACCUGCAGCAUACGGAGGUUCCCAGGCUAGAAGUCGAAUCAGAGCUGCAGCUGCCAGCCUAUGCCACAGCCCCAGCUACACCAGAUUCAAGUCAUAUCUGUGAUCUACACUCCAGCUCACAGCAGUGCCAGAUCCUUAAUCCACUGAGAGGCCAGGGAUCGAACCCGCAUCCUCAUGGAUACGCGUUGGGUUCAUGACAGCUCAUCCCCACCACCUGGAGCAGGUGCUGCCAGCCCUGGUCACCGUGGGAAAGCAGGCAUCAGGGAAGCUAAGCUGGGGGUCCUGGUGCUGGAAAGCUCCCCAGGAACCCUGUCCCUGGUUCUGCUUCCCUUUUCGAGUUGAGUACCGAGAGCACAGAGCUAAAUUUAUGGCCCAUCUUUAGCAAGCGCAGAAUCCUUCAUUUCGUGCAUUUGGUUACGAACCUCCAUCUAAAAUGCACGCUCUUAUUUUCCCUUUGUCUCAUUUCCCCUCACUUGUUUUAAUUUACUUUAAGCUGCCUUAAAUCCAUUUCGAAACAAGGUGAGGAAUAAAUAAAUACACCCUAUCUGUAUUUAAACAGCUUCCCAUUGUAUAUGUAUAUAUUCUUGCGUAUCUCUUUUUCUAAAAAUUACUGCCUGCUGAUGCCUGCAAAUGGCUGUGUUUGCGUGUGCUAAUUGUGUAACUGACUGGAUUUUAAAUGGAGAGCUCUGAUGAGUACCUAGGAAGCCAGGAAAGAGGGUGUUUUCGCUUUCAGUAUAAAAGGCAGGGUUGGGCCCAGGUGUCUGCCCAAGAAAGAGGCAGUGGUUCUCAACUGGAGUGGAUUUUGCCUCAGGGGCAUUUGGCGAUAUCGGGCCUAUGUCUUUGGUUGUCACCCCUGGAAGUGCAGGGGAGGCAUCUGGCCUUGUUAUGGGCAUCUAGUGGGUAGAGGCCAGGGAUGCUGUUAAACAUCCUACAAACAGCCCCCUCGCCAAGAAUGAUCUGGUCCCAAAUGUCCCCGGUACCAAGUCUGAGAAGCCCUGACUUAAGGGUAGCAGAAGUGACGAAGGGCAGAAGCUUGUAACCCCACCAAGGUGGGGCUGGGGGUGGGGGGCUAGAAACCCUGGGGGCAGCUCCUGAACCCCACCAGGAAGAGAGAGCAGCUGAGGGCCUGUAGGCUGAAUUCCCAGGAGAGCCCCUGGCUCCAGUGGGGUCACAGGAGAAGCGAGAUCAACUUGGGAAGGAAAGGCCAUCUCCAGUCCCGGAGGGGCCGCGUUCCAGUGGUUGGAAUGGGAGCCUUUCCUACAUUCCACUUGCCCUGCUGCCUUUCUCCCCUGGGAUCUCUGCCCCACUGGGACUUCCUGCGGGUUGGCCCGGGGGAGCCCCAGCAGGGGGUCAGAGAGCAGGGACAGCCCUGGGAAGGGGUGUUGACUCCCAGCCCCUCUCUGCAGGGCUACCUCAAUCUGGCUAAUUCCUCAACCUAAGUCCCAGCCCCUCUCUAGGCGCCACAGCAACACCGGAUCCGAGCCACGUCUGCAAACUUCACCAUAGCUUGUGGCAGCGCCAGAUCCUUAACCCACUGAGCGAGGCCAGGGAUCAAACCUGCAUCCUCAAGGAUACUAGUUAGGUCCUUACUGCUGAGCCACAAUGGGAACUCCCCUGCCACACCCUUUUAAGUAGUCCCUUUCUUAAAACUUCCCCAGACUCUCCUGAUUUGAAUGUCAUCUGCGUCCUUCAAGGAUCUUAGCUGUCGCUCUGUCACUUAUUCAUUAGUUGAAUGUUCAGUGACCACCUACUAUGUGCUCAGGCAGAGUUCUAGGUGCCUGGGCUACACAGGUAAAUAGAGGCCCAGGCCACUGUCUUGUGAGAGCCUCACUCCUGGUGUGUCUGGCUUAGCUUCAUGCCUGCAGCCUGUGUGGCCUGAAUGAGGCAGCUUUCUGAGGCUACGCCCUCCAGCUAAGAGACAAGGGCUAUCGCCCUGACCACCACAGCUCUGACACCAGGCAGCUCUGUACACCUGAGCGAGUCACUCAGCCUCCCUGGCUUUCAUUUUCCUUGUUCGUAAGGUGAGGGCUAGGACUAGAUAACCAUCUAACAGGUUAUCUGAACUGGAAUUAAAAUUUCCUGGCUGGGGUGGCUGCCCAGAUUCUGAGUUGGGAGCAGCAGAGGCAGGCAUCUCGGGCAGCUGUGUACAUCCCAGGUCUUCCAGAGGGGUCCCUGGUAAGGAUGGGAGAGGGCUGGCAUCUCCAUGUCCUGCUGUUGGCUGUCCUGGAUACCUUCUGUGGUGUGGAGGUGGGGUGACCUCCUCUGGGUCCUCCAAAGCUCCUGACUCCCUGUCGCUCUCCCCUGCCAACCACACCUCUCUCAGGGCCAUGUAUGUUCCCCUAGGUCCUAGGCCAAGAAGCCACAGACCCCAGCACACUCAGGGCAGCCUUGCUGGUACCAGCUGAUAGGCUGGGCAGCUUCCUAGGCAAACCUGCACAAAGCUUUCUGGACGCUAUCGCCUGGAAGGUACCAGAGGCCAAGGAGGCCCCAUGCCUCAGGGCAAUAUUGCAUCUGCCAGCCCAGACUUACAGGGGGACCAUCAGAGGGCCCAUCUCAUGCUCUGGGG